UGAGGAAUAUUGGUCAAUGGAGGAAACUCUGACGCAGUGACGCCGCGUGCAGGAAGAAGGUUUUCGGAUUGUAAACUGCUUUAGACAGGGAAGAAAAAGGACAGUACCUGUAGAAUAAGCUCCGGCUAACUACGUGCCAGCAGCCGCGGUAAUACGUAGGGAGCAAGCGUUAUCCGGAUUUAUUGGGUGUAAAGGGUGCGUAGACGGGAAGUCAAGUUAGUUGUGAAAUCCCUCGGCUCAACUGAGGAACUGCAACUAAAACUAACUUUCUUGAGUGCUGGAGAGGAAAGUGGAAUUCCUAGUGUAGCGGUGAAAUGCGUAGAUAUUAGGAGGAACACCAGUGGCGAAGGCGACUUUCUGGACAGUAACUGACGUUGAGGCACGAAAGUGUGGGGAGCAAACAGGAUUAGAUACC
rnacentral:rRNA from 1 species